rnacentral:rRNA from 1 species
CAGCACCUCAAGUGGUCAGGACGAUUAUUGGGCCUAAAGCAUCCGUAGCCGGCGCUGUAAGUUUUCGGUUAAAUCUGUACGCUCAACGUACAGGCUGCCGGGAAUACUGCAGCGCUAGGGAGUGGGAGAGGUAGACGGUACUCGGUAGGAAGGGGUAAAAUCCUUUGAUCUAUUGAUGACCACCUGUGGCGAAGGCGGUCUACCAGAACACGUCCGACGGUGAGGGAUGAAAGCUGGGGGAGCAAACCGGAUUAGAGACCCGAGUAGUCC